rnacentral:rRNA from 1 species
UACGUAGGGUGCAAGCGUUAAUCGGAAUUACUGGGCGUAAAGCGUGCGCAGGCGGUGAUGUAAGACAGAUGUGAAAUCCCCGGGCUCAACCUGGGAACUGCAUCUGUGACUGCAUCGCUGGAGUGCGGCAGAGGGGGGAUGGAAUUCCGCGUGUAGCAGUGAAAUGCGUAGAUAUGCGGAGGAACACCGAUGGCGAAGGCAAUCCCCUGGGCCUGCACUGACGCUCAUGCACGAAAGCGUGGGGAGCAAACAGG